AACGAACGCUGGCGGCAGGCCUAACACAUGCAAGUCGAACGUGAAGCCACCUUCGGGUGGUGGAAAGUGGCAGACGGGUGAGUAACGCGUGGGAACGUGCCUUUCGGUUCGAAAUAACCCAGGGAAACUUGGGCUCAUACCGGAUACGCCCUUUGGGGGAAAGAUUCAUCGCCGAAAGAUCGGCCCGCGUCGGAUUAGCUAGUUGGUAGGGUAAUGGCCUACCAAGGCGACGAUCCGUAGCUGGUCUGAGAGGAUGACCAGCCACACUGGGACUGAGACACGGCCCAGACUCCUACGGGAGGCAGCAGUGGGGAAUAUUGGACAAUGGGCGAAAGCCUGAUCCAGCCAUGCCGCGUGGGUGAAGAAGGCCCUAGGGUUGUAAACCCCUUUCAGCGGGGAAGAUAAUGACGGUACCCGCAGAAGAAGCCCCGGCUAACUCCGUGCCAGCAGCCGCGGUAAAAC
rnacentral:rRNA from 1 species